rnacentral:rRNA from 1 species
UACGUAGGGACCAAGCGUUGUUCGGAUUUACUGGGCGUAAAGGGCGCGUAGGCGGCAAUUCAAGUCAGCUGUGAAAUCUCCGGGCUUAACUCGGAACGGUCAGCUGAUACUGCUUUGCUAGAGUGCAGAAGGGCAAUCGGAAUUCUUGGUGUAGCGGUGAAAUGCGUAGAUAUCAAGAGGAACACCUGAGGUGAAGACGGGUUGCUGGGCUGACACUGACGCUGAGGCGCGAAAGCUAGGGUAGCAAACGGG